rnacentral:rRNA from 1 species
GGCGCAGGCGGGGCUGUAAGUCAGUGGUGAAAUACCUGAGCUUAACUCGGGAACUGCCAUUGAUACUAUAGCCCUUGAAUGACGUUGAGGUUUGCGGAAUGGGUCAUGUAGCGGUGAAAUGCAUAGAUAUGACCCGGAACACCGAUUGCGAAGGCAGCAGGCUAAACGUAAAUUGACGCUGAGGCCCGAAAGCGUGGGGAUCAAACAGGAUUAGAUACCCUGGUAGUCCACGCCCUAAACUAUGAUUACUCGACAUUUGUGAUACACUAUAAGUGUCUGAGCGAAAGCAUUAAGUAAUCCACCUGGGAAGUACGUCCGCAAGGAUGAA